rnacentral:tRNA from 1 species
GCCUGGGUAGCUGUCGGUUAAGCGUCUGACUCUUGAUUUCGGCUCAGGUCAUGAUCUCACAGUUUGUGGGUUCGAGUCCCACGUCGGGCU